rnacentral:lncRNA from 1 species
UCUGGCAAGUCGCGACAACGGACGCUGCUCCACUCUCCGCAACGGGCUCCACGUGGCAGGCCACGGUGAUGGCCACGAUUCCACUCCACUACUCUUCAUAAUAAACUUCUCCCGACCCCGAACGGCCCACUGCCAGGCGGCUACAAACGUCGCUAUCAGUCCAUUGCACCCUCCGCCUAUAAAAAGGGGAGACCCCAGAUAUGUUAUUCUCUAAGCUCUAAUUUCUAUCUCAAAACUCUGCUAAAAUUUUUGUUCGAGCACU